UAUCAUAUGCUGCUUUACCAUUAACCAAAUGUUUAGAUUAAAUGGCUAGCUGCCGUUUAUGACGUUUGGUAUACUCCUAUAUCUGGUAUUGCUCCAUAAGAAGUUUCAUCCCCUAAGAUUCUCCCAUUCAAAACUUUGGUAUUCCACUUGAGCAUGUCAGAUGAGAGAUGAGAUGCCUCCAUUUUAGCUAUCACCACCACUGACUCCGCUUCUUGAUGGCUUUUUGGAGGUUCAUUUUGAUUGCAUAGAUAGCAAACAUAAACUUAUUGCUUUCAGCUCCUAGAAUAGGGUUGUUAAAGAGUCUCUCUUCCUACUUAAGAUUAUAUUGGCAUAUGUAGGAGUAGAUUCACCAAGUAUUGCUUCAUGUAAGUCCUGAUCUCACCAAGUAUUGCUUUCUUCUAUAUUUCUUCAAGUAUUGCUUCUUCACUUCCGGCAUCUGUAAGUCUUAAUUUCAC
rnacentral:lncRNA from 1 species